GUGAUAAAACUACAGCAAUUAUUUGCCUUCUUCAAUCCUAUGCGUUUUGGGCGGGAGAUAAAGGAUCUGCCUUUUUUCCCCCGUUUGCGCCUCUCACUCCUAUUUCUCACCUCGCUCGAUCUCUGCGAUUCCAAAGAGGUGGUUUAGCGGGGUUGUUCUGAGACUCAAUCGGGGACUUGUUGGGAAGAAUGGGGUAUAUAGGGUCGCAUGGCAUAGCUGCGUUGCACAGGUACAAGUACAGUGGCGUGGAUCACUCGUACGUCGCCAAAUAUGUGCACCAACCGUUCUGGAGUCGCUUCGUUAAUUUCUUCCCCCUUUGGAUGCCAUAACACUUAUGGGAUUCAUAUUCCUAGCCAUUUCUGCUUUGCUUGGCUACAUUUAUUCACCUCGCUUGGAUUCAGCUCCUCCAAGAUGGGUUCAUUUUGCACAUGGAUUCAGCUCCUUCAGCCACCGUGGAUAUCGAUGUUUGGAUCCUAAAACUCAGAAAGUCUACAUCUCAAGGCGUAUUUGAUGAGUUUCCUUUUCCAGCUAAGGGUACAAAUCUCUCUCAAGGGUCCUGCACUGUCACGGCCAUCCCAGCUUGAUUUUGCAAUGAAAGACCUGGGUGCCUUGAGUUAUUUUCUUGGUAUUCAAGUCCUUAGAGAUCCUAAUGGCAUCCAUCUCAGACAGUCCAAAUACAUCCAAGACCUCCUCAACCAAGUUCAUAUGGCUGAAUCCAAACCAUAUCGAACUCCGUGCCUUGCAAGAACCAAAAUGUCUAAAUUUGAAGGUGACACACUUCCUGAUCCCACUGCAUUUCGGCAUAUUGUUGGAGCUCUCCAAUAUGUAACUCUCACAAGGCCUGAUAUUGCUUACUCGGUAAAUCAACUCUGCCAACAUAUGCACAACCCAACUUCUGUCCACUUCACAGCAGCAAAGAGAGUACUCAGAUAUCUCAAGGGCUCAGUAGAUUAUGGCCUCUAUUAUUGCAAAAGUCCUCUUCUCCUCAAUGCCUUUUGUGAUGCUGAUUGGGCAGGCAACCCUGAUGAUAGGUGAUCCACCACUGGAUAUGGAAUUAUCCUUGGUUCUAAUCUCCUAUCCUGGUCGGCCAAGAAGCAAAGUGUGGUUUCCCGCUCCAGUACCGAAGCAGAAUAUCGUUCCAUGUGCCUGACCACUGCUGAAAUGUAUUGGAUCCGUAUGCUCCUUAGAGAGUUACAUCUUCCACUCUUAUCUUGUCCGACUCUGUGGUGUGAUAAUUCCGGAGCUCUUGCAUUAGCUUCCAAUCCGGUGUUCCAUGCCCGGACCAAACAUAUUGAAGUGGACUUCCACUUCAUUCGAGAGAAGGUCACCAACAAGGAUAUUACUCUCAGAUACUUACCCACCUUUGACCAGCUAGCUGAUAUCUUUACUAAAGGCCUUACAGCCAAUCGAUUCUGUUUGUUGCGCACCAAACUGAUGGUUUGUCCACCCAUCAGUUUGCAAGGGGGUGUUAAAGGAUAAAACAGAGAAUACAGAGGAUACAGCAAGUUCAAAACAAAAUAAGCAUACUAACGGCUACUAGCCGUUAGUUGAAGAACAUCCUCUACAACUCAGCACACUCAUCAAGCCCAGUACACUCAGCAUCACAUUCCCAAUCCUUCGACUGCCACAAGUAAUCUGCUGCCUCAAGUAAUCGGUUGCCAACACACUUCUGCAGCAUACCAACAUUGCAGAAUCUUCAUACACAGAAAAGCAUGCAAACUGUCCAACAUGCAGGCCGUGUUUCAGCAAGCUAUCAACUCUCAAACCGUGCCUCUGUCUCACUGCUACAACAGUCUGCUUAGUGUAUAAGAUUAGGAUUACUUGGUUGACUUUCUUAAGCAUUGUAAUUAGCCUACGGUUUUGUCUUCUGUACACUGGUCAAUGACCACUUUACACUGAUGGUUAACCACUUGUAAUCGCCUAUAAAUUCUAAUGAAAUGUAGACUGU